rnacentral:rRNA from 1 species
AUCUUCCGCUAUGGACGAAAGUCUGACGGUGCGAUGCCGCGUGAGCGAUGGAGGUCUUCGGAUCGUAAAACUCUGGUGUUAGGGAAGAACAAGUAUCGGAGUAAUAUGCCGGUACCUUGACGGUACCUAACCAGAAAGCCCCGGCUAACUACGUGCCAGCAGCCGCGGUAAUACGGAGGGGGCAAGCGUUAUCCGGAAUUAUUGGGCGUAAAGGGCACGCAGGCGGUUAUUUAAGACUGAUGUGAAAUCUUGUGGCUUAACCACAAGCAGUCAAUGGAAACUGGAUAACUUGAGUACAGAAGAGAAGAGUGGAAUACCACGUGUAGCGGUGAAAUGCGUAGAGAUGUGGGGGAACACCAGUGGCGAAGGCGGCUCUCUGGUCUGUAACUGACGCUGAGGUGCGAAAGCGUGGGUAGCGAACA